rnacentral:rRNA from 1 species
GUGUCGGGUCAAGUCCCAUAACGAGCGCAACCCCUUCGUCCAGUUGCCACCGGUUCGGCUGGGCACUCUGGACGGACUGCCCGCGCAAGCGGAGAGGAAGGCGGGGAUGACGUCAAAUCAGCACGGCCCUUACGUCCGGGGCGACACACGUGCUACAAUGGCCGGCACAGAGGGCAGCCACGCGGCGACGCGGAGCGAAUCCCGAAAGCCGGUCUCAGUCCGGAUCGGAGCCUGCAACCCGGCUCCG